AAUGACGUCUCCGGCUGGGCCCCGCCUGCGCGCCGCCUCGCACCACGUGGGGGGCGGGGCCUAAGGUCGGCCCUCGCGCCUGCGUGCUCUCCACGUCCAAAACCUGCCCGGGCUGCGCCGGGACGUGUUCCAGCGCUCCCGGCCGCCCUCCAAAGCAUUCUUCUGUCUGCGCCCUCCCCCAACCUUCUUUUGAUCUGAAAGAAUCAGAAGCCUAUUAUCGCUUGACAGAUUCUGGCAAUAAGGUUCAUGUUGGUAGAAACCUUGGACGUCCAGAUCACAGGACAGGAUAAGGACUUCAGUUUACUAUGACCUGGAAAUGAAAUGAGAUCCUUAUCUUUCUCUUCUGCCACUCCUUAAAAAAAUAAAUCAAGACGCUUAACCGAUACUAGUAAUAAAAACUGCAGUAGAAGGAGCAGCAAAUAAAUGCAAUUGUUUUACCUCAUAUUUUGGUUAAACUGCAUCCACUCCAUUCCAAGAUACGAGGAAAGGCAUUUUAAGCCUAGAAGCUUGUCUAACAUCUCUCCCAAAUAUUUAGGUGAUCCAAUAAAAGUUAUUAACAAACAAGUCUUGUUUCCUGCAGAUUCCCUGAACCACUUCUCCCACAAUGCCAUUACAAAACUACUACCUGCAACCAAGGUACUUCAGUCUUCCAGAUAAACCAUUCCAUAGUUCCUCAGUCAUUUUUGUACUCUAGUGUAGCUUGCAGGGAAAAAAUGGAGGAGGAAAAGUUUAAUUUAGUUGUCGUUAGAAAUAUGUAAAACAUCUACAAUUACAUAUGAGAAACAGAGAUUUUUUUCAGGUGAUAUCUUUUACGGGACUGUAACAGAGAACCCUAGCCCUGUUUCUAAGAGACAGGGUGGUACCUUUAAAUCCAGAACCUUCCAGUCACGGCCAGCCAGUCAAGUAGGGGUUAAGGCUCAAGCCCUGCCAGCCGGUCAAGUGACAGGAACAGGAAGGCCAGGAUCCUACAAAUGGCAAGUGGAGAAGGUCAGAGGGGCAGGAGAGAGGGGACUCCCAAUGAUCGUGGGGCCGCGGCCGCAGUCUCUUUCAGAAGAAUAUGCCACGCUGUAAGCCAGAAGCAUGAUCAUCUAAA